GUAGUAAACUUGGUCCUUGCCUCAG
rnacentral:piRNA from 1 species